rnacentral:rRNA from 1 species
GCGGUAAUACGUAGGGGGCUAGCGUUAUCCGGAUUUACUGGGCGUAAAGGGUGCGUAGGCGGUCUUUCAAGUCAGGAGUGAAAGGCUACGGCUCAACCGUAGUAAGCUCUUGAAACUGGGAGACUUGAGUGCAGGGGAGGAGAGUGGAAUUCCUAGUGUAGCGGUGAAAUGCGUAGAUAUUAGGAGGAACACCAGUUGCGAAGGCGGCUCUCUGGACUGUAACUGACGCUGAGGCACGAAAGCGUGGGGAGCAAACAGGAUUAGAUACCCUGGUAGUCCACGCUGUAAACGA